AUACCCUGGAAAGGGGGAGGAUAGGUAAGAAUGAAGGUAAAAACCAGAACAAGAUGCUUGGACUUUACAGAACUCAGCUGAUUUAAACAGCCAUCACACAUUUAAGCAUUCAAAACAUCCAUCCAUUGUGGCAUCAGCACUAAAUGAGAGCGCAGAACAGACAGUUGAAGCAAGUUGUACUCUGUCUGAGAUGCACCAGUCUUCCUUCAGAACUCAUUCACACAUCUGACAAAAUGGGGUCAAUUCCAGUUCUCUACUCUGCAUUCUCCCUCUGAAAGGGUGAGUUGAGCCAGCAUGUCCCUUUUAAAAUCCCACACAAUUGAGAAGCUCACAUGCAUUUACCUUGCUCUGGUUGAAAAGCCUCUGGUCAUACUGGACUUCACUAGAUGUUCGAGGGUUGGGAACACCUAGAGCAAUAACUUCACUGAUAUCUCUGUUCUCAUUUCUCUGCAGCUUUGACCUAAGUUAAAAAUAUAACCAAGUAUACACUGUCAGGCAAACUCAACUGCAUCAAUUAAGAAACUGCUAUCUAAUGCUUCACUAAUAAGUUCAUAGAUUCAUAGAAGUAGGGUCAGAACAGACCUUGUAGAUCAUCAAGUCUGACCCCCUGCCCUGGGUAGGAGGAAAACCGGGCUCAAAUGACCCCAGCCAGGUAGACAUCAAGCCUCCUCUUAAAGACUCCCAGGGUCGGAGCCAUCACCACUUCCCUUGGAAGUUUGUUUCCAGAUCCUAGCUGCCCUGACUGUGAAGUAGUGCCUUCAGAUGUCUAAUCUAAACCUACUCUCUAAUAAUUUGCUCCUGAUGGCUGGGAGGCGAAAACCAGUUUCAAAUAUGCUGCAGGUUUUGCCUCACACUGCUUACUGCUGACCAGACAGGAGACAAAACCACAGCACAUUUAAAACUGCAGUUUUUGCCUCCCAGCCAUCACAGAAGCAAGCCACAGGGCUCCUCCACCAGAUCAGGAGUGGAAGGGGGGAGGGGACAGAACAUGGAUGGAACUCCAAGAUUAAAAGAGCUGCCAUGCUGCAAGCUGGGCCCAAGAUUUAACCCAGGCCCUACUUAUAGGAGCUGCAGCAUGGAUGUCUAGUGUCCCAUUUUCCCCCCUACUGGCCAAUAAGCCUGCUUUGUUUCAUUAUUUUUAAGCACAGCCUCAUGGGAGCUCCCAUUCUUUCCUAAAGGCAAUAUACCCCAUGAACCUGUGGGUACCAUCCUUUGACAAAAUAGCAAGGUACCUGAUGAGAGCCAGUCUUCAAAUUCAAAGGUUUCUAUGAUGCUGUGACAAUAUCAUAGCCUUGCCUACCAGUCCUAAACUCAGAGUCAAACAUUUCCUACAGAAGUUACACACACUGGUAGAGAUUAAGUCCCCUAACAGAUCAGAUUAUCUACUACUCUUGCUUCAAUGCCAGUGCAACCCCUUAUUGGGCAGUUCAGACACCUGCAUUAGUCAGAUGGAGAAGCCAGUGUGAGAACAUCUAAACAAGCUGCUUUUCCUGACUCACCUCUUGUCAGGGGCUGCUCUGGAAAGAUUCCUGUCAUGCUGUCUCUCUUUGCGCCGGUCAUGUCUGAUUUCAUCUCUCUCUCUAGCUUCUCCAUCCUCUGUACAGACACAUUUGAGAUUGUUCAUUAAGUACAGUCACUUGUUAUCUGAGUUAAUUAAACUUCAGGUCAUCACAGUAACUGAACUCUAUUCAUUUAGAAAAAAAUGAAGGGCCUUUAAUUCAAAACUACAUUAGAUUUUAAACAAACUGAAAAAGCAGAAUUAAAAAACCAUAUCUUUUAUGGCAAACAUGUAAUUGGGCUUGCCAAAACAGGUGAAGGGUCCAGUCUCUGCUAUAACUGUUUAUUCUUGGUUUCCAUAUAAAUCCAUAUAAAUUAUUUCCCUCUGCUCUGCCUGGGAAUUAAUACCUGUUAACUCCCAUGGACAUUAAAGGUGCAUCAUAGUGAUAAGUCCUCCUGUACCAUGGAUAAUGGUGGUGGUAACUAUUAUUAUUCAGAUUUAUAUUCCACUCUAUCCAGAAAGUACCCCUUUGUGUUAUUAAAAUUAGCCAUUGGUAUCCAAAGAUCAAAUCCAGGCAUGCUAGCAUUAGCUGUGUUCAAGAACAUCCACUGCCAUGUAACAGCAUGUAAAUAUGCACCCAACAAUUCUGAUACGCUUCUUGCCCUUUCCUUGAAGAUGGUUCCUAGAUUACUGAUAUUUCAAUCCAGAAUAUACGGCUGCCCCAAUAAUUCCUAUUUAGUUAAUAAUUGACCUAGAACACAAUGGAGACUUCUUGCUGCAUUCCUUGUUAAUGUCAAGGAUUCCCAAAGUCCAAAGCCAAUUCUUGAGGUCUGGAGUGCCUUCAAUACAACAUCUGCUGCCACAGAAGUUUGGGACUCAAAUUCAGACUCCCUUCAAACUACUUGCCCAUUAACUGGCUGAAUAGACAGGAAGGUCACUCAAGACCAGAAACCAUUUCAGUGCUUAAAACCUGAUUUUUUUUAUCACAGACCUCAAGCUCUUUUUUUCCAAUUUUAAAGGGUUCAAACAAAAAUGAAAGCACCUGAAAGCAUCCCGCCUAGAUUUCUUGCAGGCAGAUUGCAGAGACAGAGAAUUACCUUUCUCCACAUGGGUUUUGAUCCCUGCUCUCCUUUCCCUAGCUUUCUGGGCCAUCUCUCGGAGCUUUUCCUCAUGCUUUUCUUUUUCUUUUUGAGCCAUUUUUCUCUCCACCUGGGCACGCAUCUCCACAGCCUCACGAGCCUGCAUGAGUUUAAGAACACUUGAUUAACAAUAUACUGCUACCAACCUGGAUGCAAGGACAGCAGAAGCAGCUCAGAAGCUGCCCAAUAAACAGCGUCACCUUUGUUUUCAAUAGGAAUCGCAUCUUAAACAUGACAUACAAAGCCAGGCAAUUAUACAGCCUAGCAAUUAAAGCUAAAAACCAAGAAGAGCCACAUAUUCCCAGAGACUAGCCCCUGAUGAGUCACUGAUUCAAAAAUCUUGGGGAUAAGACCUUAUGUCUCAUGUAAACCCAGCAGGAAGACUGAGCAGAAAGCCAUAACCUCACCCAGUCAUUUUCCCCUCAAGGAAAUAAAAAUACAAAGAAAAUAAUAAAACCAACCACUGCAAACACAGAUUAAACAACUGCCUGACCUUUCUGUCAGCAAUGUAGAGAGCCUCAGCCAGCUUGGCGAAGUUUUCAUUAAUAUGAACAGUCUGCAGUCCUCUGCCAUCCGCAGCCAGACGCUUGUCUAAUGGAAUGGUGUAACCCUGGCGUGAAAACAGACAGGCACUUCAUCACCAGAAAGAAACAUGGUGUACUAAAAACGAAACAAUCCAAAAUCUUAACCCAUCAUUCAUAUGCUCCAGUGGACUUGCUCUUCACACAUUUACAUAAUUACACUACAGAAUGCAAACCUUACCCUGUUUCACACAGAGCAUGUAUUUUUCAAAUGACACCUUAAUUGGGAUGCCACUGGUCAUUUGUAAUCAAUUAUGUCUCAACUCUUAACUUUGUUCUGGGAACUAACCACGCAGCUUCCCCAUGUUUAGGCAGUUUUUAAACGCAUUUCAAAUGUGGCUUCAUUUUUUUUUUUGAAUCUAUAAAAGCUUCAGUCACCCCCAAGCUUUGUACCAGGGGACAAAAUUGCCAGUAAGUGCAUGAGAUGGGGAAAAUAUGUACAAUCUCUCAAAAAAUGUACUCUGCAGGCAUUUGGGGAGAUUAAAUUAAAGAUCUUUAUGAAGAUUUUGCCUCCCUGGAUUUUAAGAGUUUUGAUACUCACUAGAGAUUCAAGUUACAGUGCAAGUCCCCUUAAAACAGUUACAGAAGCAGAAAAAAUAAAUAUGAAAGCACAUGGCUUCCUUCCACCUACAUUUGGAGUUUCCUCAUGACUGUCCCUCAGUCAGUUUGAGAAAAAUGGUUGGAACAGCCAUGUCAAUAUAUUAUUAGCUCCCCCCCCUCCAAACGCAAAUGCGUAUUUACUGACAGAACCAAUGUACCAAUGUAGAUCCAGUGUAGAAGACUCCUGCUAAACAGCAAUGUAAGUGCAUUCCCUGCUAGUGAAUAAAGAUCUUAGCCUUAACUAGAGGUAGAAAAUGAAUGAGAAGGCACAAGAAUUCUCUCUAGAUUCAGACUACAGAAAGUGUAAAAAAGAAAUGACUGAGUUCUCUGAUGCCACCUUUUCCUUUUUCAGUUUAGAUGGCCUCACUUCCAGAGCAUUCAGUAUUUUGUUUCAAGCUUCACAUACUGCACUACUAUAGGGAUUUUUAUUAAGUGCUAUUUCUUCUCAAAAUGUGUAAUUUCUGCCAUGAAGUAAUAUAUUCUCUUUCAGCACUGUGCUCCUGUCAUCUUGACAUUCCUAAUAACUAGCAAAGAGAAAAACCAAACUGUACAAUUGUGUUUCCCAUUCUGAAAGCAGCCAGUUUACUGAGCUUUGGAGGUUUAAAACCAGUAUUAUUCAGGCUGCAGAUCAUUCACAGAAGUCUCGCAGAAGGGCGCAAUAUUAGAGGGUGAAUUUAUGACAACUUAAUUACCUUUGCAUUUUUCCAGUUUGAAAUGCACGGAGGAAUUUUCCACUCUUGUUGCUCCUUCACGGUCAUCUAAAUUGAGAGAGAGAGAGGAGAGGGAGGGGAGAGAAGUCACUUUUAGAUUUACAGCAGAAAGAGAGGUUCUCCCUCUCUUUUUCUCUCAAAAUGGCAGCUAUGAAAACACUCGGACAAAUCAAAUUGCAAAGGCCAGGAAGCUUUUGCAGAAGAAUAACAACCUUGUUUUGGUGAAAGCUAAAGCAUUUACUGUGCUGUACUUUCCAGAACGAUACAGCAGAGGAACAGUACUUUACGUAGUUAUUUUCGUACUGUGAAUACAGUCCAAGUUUAAGUUUCUCUGAAUGGUUACCAAGCCACCAUCCUCCUCUGCUGACAUGAGAUCACUCUAAACACUGGACUUAGUACUACUGUUCUUAGAUGUUUAACACCAGGUCAAGCCUUUGUCCUCAAGGUCAAGUGAGCCAAUGCACUAAUCUUCCGAGGGACAGUGAACCUCAUGCUGCAAAAACAAAGCCUAUGUGCUAGUCAAAGAGCAGUGCCACUGUGUUAAGGCUAGUAUCUCAGUCAGACCUACAAACCAAGGGGAGUCACAACAGUGCAAGCCUCUGUGAAAAUGGGAAAGAAUGUAAUCACCCUUUGCCAAGGUUAUAGAAACCUGACUCACUUCAGAACUGCCAGACUCUUACAUGCCAGAUUAAGCAUCCAGCACACAUCAACAGGGAGAGGAGGCAAAUGCAGCACAAGGGCUAGUCAAGUACAGACACUAGAAACCAAACCAAAACACAGCAACCACAUUCAAUACCUUUCUGCUGGGAGAGUGCAUUACGGGAGCUGGAGGAGAAGGUGGCCCACGGGGAAUUUUCUUGUUAAUCCUGCACAAUAAAGCACAGUGUGCUCAGUAAAGCAACACACAAAAUCCUCUUUGCUACUAUGAAAUGCUCCAGGGGUGGAGUACUCACUUGAAUCUUGGGGGCUCCAUGGGGUCCUUCUGCAUCUCUACCAUUCGAAUAACCCUCUGUUUUGCUCCAGAGUUGAAGGCAACACCCUGCUGAGAUGGUGUGUACCUGAACAAAGUCAUCAAGACAGAUUCAGUUCUCUAUGUACACUGUGUGCUGUAUUUCACCUUCCUCAGCCUGAACCACUCCCUCAGCAUUUCUGCUUCAUCCACACCAAAUUCUUUAAAUAGUUCUCAAGGUUCUUUGGGUAAAAUAAAAGUGAUAUCUUUUAUCAGACCAACUAAA